rfam:Schistosoma haematobium scaffold9_53, whole genome shotgun sequence.
AUCCAACUGACGAGUUCCAAAUAACACGAAACGCGCUUCCUGGAU